AUUAGAUACCCUGGUAGUCCACGCAGUAAACGAUGAAUACUAAUUGUCCGGGCAGAAUGGUGCCUGGGUGAUACAGCGAAAGCGUUAAGUAUUCCACCUGGGGAGUACGCCGGCAACGGUGAAACUCAAAGGAAUUGACGGGGGCCCGCACAAGCGGAGGAACAUGUGGUUUAAUUCGAUGAUACGCGAGGAACCUUACCCGGGCUCAAACGACACAGGAAUACUUUUGAAAGGAGGUAGCCAGCAAUGGUCUGUGUCGAGGUGCUGCAUGGUUGUCGUCAGCUCGUGCCGUGAGGUGUCGGCUUAAGUGCCAUAACGAGCGCAACCCCUACCGCCAGUUGCCAGCAGGUAAAGCUGGGGACUCUGGCGGGACUGCCGGCGCAAGCUGCGAGGAAGGCGGGGAUGACGUCAAAUCAGCACGGCCCUUACGUCCGGGGCGACACACGUGUUACAAUGGCAGGUACAGCGGGAAGCCACCUGGCGACAGGGCGCGGAACCCGAAAACCUGUCUCAGUUCGGAUUGGAGUCUGCAACCCGACUCCAUGAAGCUGGAUUCGCUAGUAAUCGCGCAUCAGCCACGGCGCGGUGAAUACGUUCCCGGGCCUUGUACACACCGCCCGUCAAGCCAUGGAAGCCGGGAGUGCCUGAAGUGCGUGACCGCAAGGAGCGUCCUAAGGCAAUACCGGUGACUGGGGCUAAGUCGUAACAAGGUACC
rnacentral:rRNA from 1 species